AUGCACUUCCAUGAAAGAGACAACUUGGAGAGAUCCCUCUGCAUUUCAGACAUCACAUAUCACAAUUUGGUAGCAUUAAUAGAGACAGAGGGAUAUGGGCUGAAUGACUACAUUUACUUUGCGAGGGAGCCUGGUGUGGGUAUUGAAGGAUUGGUAGAAAUUUUUGAUGAUGACAAGGUGGAUGAAAUGCUUGACCAUAUUGCUAAUAAGGAUCAGACUGUAGUGAAUUUGACAGUGAUUAGGGCCACUGAUCCAAGACCUGCAGAUUUGAAUGCAGGCUAUUUGUAUGAGGAGCAGGUUCCUUUGAGUCAAUUAGGAGAAAAACCUGUCUAUGAAGUCAAUCCUUCUGGAGUUCUAUUCAGAUCACCUGAGAAAUCAAAUAAAUAG
rnacentral:rRNA from 1 species